CCCAAACCAUUUCCUUCUUCCCUCUCCCCAUCUCCCCGACUCCUUCCUCGUUUUCUCUCACGGAUGGAUCUGUGGCGAUCAUCCACAUCGCAUCAUCGGAGGACCAGGUCGCCGAAGCUCGACGGGAAACGACGGAGUCCAGUCUAUCUUUGGUCCUGGGAUUUCUUCUCCGGUGUUUCCUGUGCCCGAUCAAUGAAGGCGUGGAGGCUAGGGCACGGAGGGGGCUGGAGGUGCGUCGUUCCCAGCCGAUAUGUGCCAUUCUCUUCUUGAGUUUCAUUUUCUUUUUCUUCUCUACGGCCUCGACAAGCGUCUGUGAAGGUUUUUCCAUCGCCGCCCCUAAAUCGCUUCAAUCGGAGAGAAAUUAGGGCUGUCUGCGUCCGAUCUGUCCAGCACUGGCGGUGUGGGUGAGUGGACGGCGAUAACAGUGAUCUUGGAGGUAGAGGAGCUGAUAGAUUCCAGCCCUCAUCACUGUUAGCUGGGUUUGCCUUGCCGGAUCUGUGAUUACCACCGGCGACUGUAGAGGAGGAGUGAGGUUCUGCACUGUUGCUGUGGGGUUGUUUUGGUACCAGAAGCACCUCUUUAGUUGCGGAUCAAGAGCAGAGGUUGGGAAUUGAGGUAAGUGUAGGGAUUUGUCACAUGUUGUAAUUAGCUGUUGAUUGUGUAUAGAUUUAGUUAUGAUUUGGAUUACAUGAUUACUAGAUGGUUAGUGAUUAUGUUUAGAUUUAUUUGUUUAUAUUAAUCUAAUGGAAUGAUUAGGGUUAAGGUAAUUAACCCUAGUCAACCGUUGGAUUUCUAAUCUAAUGGGAGAUUAGGGAUUAGAUAACUAAUCCUAAUUGACCGUUUGAUUUAAUUAGAUAGGAUAAGGUUGUGUGAUUACGGUUUUGCCCUAAUUUAGUUUUAGAGAUUUUAUUUAGCUAUUCAUUUGGAUUUAGCUAAAUAAAAUAUAUAUAUUGUUUGACAUAGGACUCUGAUUCGAGACAGGCGUCUCGACCUUGGAUUUGGCGUGAUACUACCUGCUAUUUGAGGCGGGUACCCUUUGACUUAACUCUUGAUAGUGUCUUAUGAUAUGUGCAGUUUAUAUAUACUUACUAGUGAUUGGUAGUUUAGCACUUUCCCUGGGUUUAGUUUAGUGGAUAUCUGAUACAUGCUUCUACUGUUAGCUGCUAUAUAUUAGUCUGGCAUGUUUUUCUUUCUGGCUAUGUUUAUCUGUGUUCAUAGAGAUAGAGGUAUUUAUUGUGCUUCCCUCUAUACUGGAUUAGUUGAUAGAUAUGUUGGAUAUGUGAUGUUGGAUUCAUGUUGUUUAUUA